AUUGAACGCUGGCGGCAGGCCUAACACAUGCAAGUCGAGCGGAGCGGCGGACGGGUGAGUAAUGCUUAGGAAUCUGCCUGGUCGUGGGGGAUAACGUCCGGAAAUGGGCGCUAAUACCGCAUACUAUCAGCAGAGCCUAGGUCGGAUUAGCUAGUUGGUGGGGUAAAGGUCUACCAAGGCGACGAUCCCUAACUGGGCUGAGAGGAGGAGCAGUCACACUGGAACUGAGACACGGUCCAGACUCCUACGGGAGGCAGCAGUGGGGAAUAUUGGACAAUGGGCGAAAGCCUGAUCCAGCCAUGCCGCGUGUGUGAAGAAGGACUUCGGAUUGUAAAGCACUUUAAGUUGGGAGGCGUUACCAACAGAAGAAGCACCGGCUAACUCCGUGCCAGCAGCCGCGGUAAUUC
rnacentral:rRNA from 1 species